rnacentral:rRNA from 1 species
CCCGCUGCAACUACAGCAUGUUAAUAAGCGGUGGAAAAGAAACUAACAAGGAUUCCCCUAGUAGCGGCGAGUGAAGCGGGAUGAGCUCAAAUUUAAAAUCUGGUAGUCUUUGGCUGCCCGAGUUGUAAUCUAGAGAAGUGUUUUCCGCGCUGGACUGCGUACAAGUUUCCUGGAUAUGGAACAUCAUAGAGGGUGAGAAUCCCGUCCUUGACACAGACUCCCAGUGCUUUGUGAUGCGCUCUCAACGAGUCGAGUUGUUUGGGAUUGCAGCUCAAAAUGGGAGGUAAAUUCCUUCUAAAGCUAAAUAUUGGCGAGAGACCGAUAGCGAACAAGUACCGUGAGGGAAAGAUGAAAAGCACUUUGGAAAGAGAGUUAAACAGUACGUGAAAUUGUUAAAAGGGAAACGAUUGAAGUCAGUCGCGUCUACUUGGACUCAGCCUUACUUUGGUUUGGUGCAUUUCCUUGUGGACGGGCCAGUGUCCAUGUCGAUUGCUGGAAAAGGUUCAGAGGAAUGUGACUCUUUUAGAGUGUUAUAGCCUCGGUUCAUAUACAGUGGUUGAUAUGGAGUGUUACAGCAUGCUUCGGUGGUGCUUGUGCUGGCAUAAUGGCUUUAAACGACCCGUCUUGAAACACGG